AUGAACGCUGGCGGUAUGCCUAACACAUGCAAGUCGAACGAACUCGCAAGAGAGAGUGGCGGACGGGUGAGUAACGCGUGAGAAUCUGCCUUCAGGAUGGGGACAACAGUUGGAAACGACUGCUAAUACCCAAUAUGCCCUAAGGGGUGAAAGUUAUCUCGCCUGAAGAGGAGCUCGCGUCCGAUUAGCUAGUUGGUGGGGUAAGAGCCUACCAAGGCAGCGAUCGGUAGCUGGUCUGAGAGGAUGAGCAGCCACACUGGGACUGAGACACGGCCCAGACUCCUACGGGAGGCAGCAGUGGGGAAUUUUCCGCAAUGGGCGAAAGCCUGACGGAGCAAUACCGCGUGAGGGAGGAAGGCUUUUGGGUUGUAAACCUCUUUUCUCAAGGAAGAAGCCAGUGACGGUACUUGAGGAAUCAGCAUCGGCUAACUCCGUGCCAGCAGCCGCGGUAAUACGGAGGAUGCAAGCGUUAUCCGGAAUCAUUGGGCGUAAAGCGUCCGCAGGUGGCGUAUCAAGUCUGCUGUCAAAGACUAGAGCUCAACUCUGGAAAGGCGGUGGAAACUGGUAGGCUAGAGUACGGUAGGGGUAGAGGGAAUUCCCAGUGUAGCGGUGAAAUGCGUAGAUAUUGGGAAGAA
rnacentral:rRNA from 1 species